rnacentral:lncRNA from 1 species
CGCGUUUCUGGCGCGUGGUCUUGCAUUUCCUACUUGGUCCUGUUCGUGGCGCCGCGCCUCCGGGUGUUGGGGAGUCCGGGAUGAUGGGGAAUCCGGGGCUCGCCCUAGUCGCGGGGACACCGCCUUCCAGGAGCUGUCCCCAGGCAAACUCACAGACAUCUUCAAAGAGCCUUCUUGGACAUUCUGCUUUUUGCUCCUCAUAACAGGCUUCGAUGGAGUUUCUCUCUUAUUUUCCAGGCUGCAGUACAGUGGCGUGAUCUCGGCUCACUGCAACCUCCACCUCCCAGGUUCAAGCGAUUCUCCUGUCUUAGCCUCACGAGUAGCCGGGAUUACAGGCACAUGCCCCCAUUCCCAGCUAAUUUUUGUAUUUUUAGUAGUGACGGGGUUUCAUCAUAUUGGUCAGGCUGGUCUCAAACUCCUGACCUCAGGUGAUCCGCCUCGGCCUCCCAAAGUGUUGGGAUUACAGGCGUGAGCCACCCACUGUAUCUCUUGUUCGGAGGAAUAUCUAAUCAAGAAAAUCAUUUUUACUGUUUUUAUUUUUUGGUUUGUUCGUUUUUUUCCUGUGAGAUGGAGUUUCACUCUUGUUGCCCAUCCUGGUGUACAAUGGCGCGAUCUCGGCUCACUUCAACCUCCGCCUCCCAGUGCGUCCGGAAUUGGUGGGUUCUUGGUCUCACUGACUUCAAGAAUGAAGCUGCGCACCCUCACGGUAUACAAUUUUAUUGCCAAGCAAUAAAAUUGGCAAGAAAACCAAAGUUAUUGUUCAGUACUUUGUAUUGUUCUACUCUGUGCCCACCAAAUGUCAAAGCACUGGAAGGACAGAGGGACAAGAGGGAUGGCCCUUUCAGGACGGGAACCCACGUCUGGCUGGAGAGAUAAGACCAAUUAUAAUCAGCAAGACAUGGCCAGGAGCUAAAUUAUAAGGAAGAAACUGCUACUGAGGGGGAUCAGGAAAGGAUGCAGAAGAAUGUGCUGGAAAAACAGAGGAGGGUUUCUCAGAAAAAGCAUCUUCCGUCCAAAGAAACAGUGUUUGUACAGGAUGAAAAGUCUGAGGAGGUCAUCUUGGGCAAAGGAAACGGCAGCUAUAAAUAUUUGUGAAUUAACAGAUAUGCUUCCCUGCACAAUGAAUUACCCUUUUUGUCUCCAGUAAGCACCCAGAUCUUAAUGUCAGCUUUUGCAAGUUUUGAAAUGGUUUCUGGAACUCCAUCCUGUAGCUUGUCUUCAAUAGCUGUAGCUCCCAGGAGCUAGAAUGUAUAUUAAAAAAAAAAAAAAAAGGAAUUAGCAAACAAACCAAAAGUUUUCUGUAAUUACAGGUUGCCAACCUGUAAAAAGAAGGGCUAAUUAUACAUCCUGGUUGCUGCUCUCCUGGGGCCAAUGGCCAGUGUUAACAGGGAAGGCUGCCAUGUUUCACAAUUACUGCAAACCAACACACCUAAAAACUUUUUCCCUAAAGGAUGAACUAUUUAAUUUACCAAGACAAAAAUGCAAGUACAAAAUCAAGGAUGUUAAAAAUACACUUUUCUUGUGUAUUUGUGGCUUUAUACUGACAUAAACCGUAAACCAGUUGCAAUACUAGCUAUUUGUUGAAUAUUUUCCACUUAUCUAAACCCUACAAAAACUAUGUAUUAAAUUUGGAAAACUUUUAGAAACAAUAUAUUUUUCUUAUUUCAAGAUUUUGCAGAAUAUGAAUUGUUUCGGUAAUUCCCCCAAUGUAAUAAGUAUUAGAUGCAGGUUUGUUAUUGUUUAAAAAUUAUAAUAAAUUUUAAUAAGUGAUAUACAAAUUAUGGAAUUAAAUUAGAACUUCUCCUAAUGUAUUUUGUCUUUUGGUUUCUCAUAAUGGCAACUUCUGUUCUGCUCCUAUUUUGGUGAAUAAAAGAAAUAACCUUCUUCCAUUGUGCCAGUGUCAAAUGCUGAAGUUACAAUUAUCUCUUAAGCAUGAGAUCAAAUAUUCAAUAAAACUUAAUAAAAAUUUCAAUUCUGCUUAGAAUAUCAAAGAAAAAGUUAUUAAGGCUAAAACUCACAAUUAAGUCUUUUUCAAUCUCCUCAUAUACUUUAUCCAGAGCUUCGUCCCGGUUGGUGGAGGCCACACUGGCAGCCAUAAACUUUUUAUUCCAUUCUGUAAAUUCUUUUUCUUCAAUUUCCUUGUAGCAAAGGCAUAGGGUUCUAAGAGUUUCAUUUGCAAAGAUCUGUUUUAUUUAAAAAAAUAAAUCCACCAAUGCAAAGAAUAGUUAAUUUAUGUAAUUCAGGAUCAAGUCUGAAAUUUUACUUUGAAGUAAUAUACUAACAGAAUUUAAAAAGAGAUCAUUAAACAUGACAGAUUCUGUACAAAUACACUUUAGAGAGGGGAUUAAAUGUCACUUUUUUUUUUUUUGAGACAAGGUCUGGCUUUAUCAUCCAGGCUGGGAUGCAGUGAUGCAAUCCCGGCUCACUGCAACCUCUGCCUUCCAGGCUGAAGCCAUCCUCUCACCUCAGCCUCCCAAGUAGCUGGGACUACAGGUGUGCACCACCACGCCUGGUAAUUUUUGUACUUUUUUUUGUAGAGAUGGGGUUUCAUCAUGCUGGUCUUGAACUCACGAGCUCAUGUGAUCUGCCCAACUCAGCCUCCCAGCGUGCUGGGAUUACAGGCAUGAGCCACUGCACCCAGCCUAAACAUCACUUUAUAAUAGACUUUGCUUUUCUAAACUUCUAUAGGGUCCAGGACUGCACUUCCAGUUUCCAAAGGGAAAAGCUUACCUUUCUUCUAAAUCUUCUAUUACCUUUCUCAUUUUCUCAUUUUCUCUUUUUCUCUUCAUGACUAGGAAAAUAUCAGACCAAGGGAGCUGCCUUGGGGUGUAAUGACAUAAGCACGAACCUGACAACUUUAUAACUUGUUCCAACAAACUGUGAUACAAGUCCAAUCACCUAUGAACUCUCCACUAAGCAUUAUUCCCUCAAACCAAUUCUAAAAUACACAAGCCAUUGUUAAAGCUGAGGUCAAAGCUUUUAAUGGAAAAGAGUAUCUGGCAAUUUUCCCAUGAUGAACGAUUCAAACAUUUUCUUUUUUUUUCUUUUUCUUUUUCUUUUUUUUUUUUUUGAGAUGAAGUCUCACUCUAUCGCCCAGGCUUGAGUGCAGUGGUGCGAUCUCGGUUCACUGCAACCUCUGCCUCCCUGGUUCACGCCAUUCUCCUGCCUCAGCCUCCUGAGUAGCUGGGAUUACAGGCGGGUGCCACUGCAUCUGGCUAAUCUUUGUAUUUUUGGUAGAGACGGGGUUUCACCAUGUUGGCCAGGAUGGUCUCGAUCUGUUAACCUCGUGAUCUGCCACCUCACCCUCCCAAAGUACUGGGAUUACAGGCGUGAGCUACUGCACCCAGCCUGAUUUAAACAUUUUAAACAGUUUCAACAUGAACCAGUAAACAUCUCAUUACUUUAUAGUCACAUCUUUUUUAUUUUGACCAAGUUUUGCUCUUGUCGCCCAGGCUGGAGUGCAAUGGUACGAUCUCGGCUCACUCUACCCCCUCCCUCUGGGGUUCAAGCGAUUCUCCUGCCUCAGCUUCCCAAGUAGCUGGGAUUACAGGUGCCCACCACCACACCCAGUUAAUUUUUUUGUAUUUUUAGUGGAGACGGGGUUUCACCACGUUGGCCAGGCUGGUCUUGAACUCCUGACCUCAGGUGAUACACCCGCCUUGGCCUCCCAAAGUGCUGGGACUACAGGCAUGAGACACCAAAUACUCAAUCAGUUGAACCGCUUCUGCCAUCUUGGCUAGACAAGAUGUGACCUAUAGUCAGCUCUGUCAUCCUGUCACAUAUGAAUGCUUUCCUUCCUUUGCACUACAACUUGAAGUUAGUGGAGGUCUUGGGGACCACACACAUAGUAAGACUACAACCUAGUAUGGUUAUGUAGCUUGCUCAAGGCCACUGGAAGAGAGCUAAGCCAUUCCCCUGCCUCAGUCCUAUAGACCUUGAAGACCCACAUGCUGGGAGAGGGCACCAUGGUGAUAUCCCAGGAAGUCAGUGGCAGGGGCAGAACUGGGACCCAGGUGGCUGUAUUCCUACUUUACUGCUCUUUCCACCCCAACUAUUGCAAAGCAAAGGGAGGGUCAGCAGUUAACAUACAGCUUUCAUGCAAACUUAACAGACAGCAUCAGAGAGUAAGUUCAGAAUCCCUUGCAGAAAGAAUAAAAGUGAAACUUACAUCCAGGGCAUCCUGUGUUUCUUGCUUAGUAGGAUUCAUUCG